AUUGAACGCUGGCGGCGUGCUUAACACAUGCAAGUCGAUCGGUAACAGGUGUAGCAAUACAUGCUGACGAGAGGCGGACGGGUGAGUAAUGCUUGGGAAUCUGCCUAUUAGUGGGGGACAACCCGGGGAAACUCGGGCUAAUACCGCAUACGCUCUACGGAGGAAAGCCGGGGACCGCAAGGCCUGGCGCUAAUAGAUGAGCCCAAGUCGGAUUAGCUAGUUGGUAGGGAACGGCCUACCAAGGCGACAAUCCGUAGCUGGUCUGAGAGGACGACCAGCCACACCGGAACUGAGACACGGUCCGGACUCCUACGGGAGGCAGCAGUGGGGAAUAUUGGACAAUGGGGGCAACCCUGAUCCAGCGACGCCGCGUGGGUGAAGAAGGCCUGCGGGUUGUAAAGCCCUUUCGGUGGGGAAGAAAAGUCUCGACCUAAUACGUCGGGACCUUGACGUAACCCACUAAAGAAGCACCGGCUAACUCUGUGCCAGCCGCCGCCGUAAG
rnacentral:rRNA from 1 species